ACGAAGGGGGCUAGCGUUGUUCGGAAUCACUGGGCGUAAAGCGCACGCAGGCGGACUUUCAAGUCAGGGGUGAAAUCCCGAGGCUCAACCUCGGAACUGCCUUUGAUACUGGGAGUCUCGAGUCCGGAAGAGGUGAGUGGAAUUCCGAGUGUAGAGGUGAAAUUCGUAGAUAUUCGGAAGAACACCAGUGGCGAAGGCGGCUCACUGGCCCGGUACUGACGCUGAGGUGCGAAAGCGUGGGGAGCAAACAG
rnacentral:rRNA from 1 species